rnacentral:rRNA from 1 species
GACGAACGCUGGCGGCGUGCUUAACACAUGCAAGUCGAACGGUAAGGCCCUUUCUGGGGUACACGAGUGGCGAACGGGUGAGUAACACGUGGGUGAUCUGCCCUGCACUUUGGGAUAAGCCUGGGAAACUGGGUCUAAUACCGGAUAGGACUACGCGAUGCAUGUCGUGUGGUGGAAAGCUUUUGCGGUGUGGGAUGGGCCCGCGGCCUAUCAGCUUGUUGGUGGGGUGAUGGCCUACCAAGGCGACGACGGGUAGGCGGCCUGAGAGGGUGUCCGGCCACACUGGGACUGAGAUACGGCCCAGCCUACUACGGGAGGCAGCAGUGGGGAAUAUUGCACAAUGGGCGCAAGCCUGAUGCAGCGACGCCGCGUGGGGGAUGACGGCCUUCGGGUUGUAAACCCCUUUCAGCACAGACGAAGCGUAAGUGACGGUAUGUGCAGAAGAAGCACCGGCCAACUACGUA